rnacentral:rRNA from 1 species
UACGUAGGGACCAAGCGUUGUCCGGAAUCAUUGGGCGUAAAGAGCGUGUAGGCGGCCUGUUAAGUCUUGCGUGAAAUCUCGGGGCUCAACCCCGAGCGGUCGUGAGAAACUGGCGGGCUAGAGUGCGGGAGAGGAGAGUGGAAUUCCUGGUGUAGCGGUGAAAUGCGCAGAUAUCAGGAAGAACACCCGUGGUGAAGGCGGCUCUCUGGAACGCAACUGACGCUGAGACGCGAAAGCGUGGGGAGCAAACAGG